GACGAACGCUGGCGGCGUGGAUUAGGCAUGCAAGUCGAACGGUAUCAUCCUUUCGGGGAUGAGAGAGUGGCGAACGGGUGAGUAACACGUAGGUGAUCUACCCUCAAGACGGGGACAACCCAGGGAAACUUGGGCUAAUACCGGAUGUGAGCUAUCGUGAGAUAGUUUGAAAGGUGGCUUCGGCUGCCGCUUGAGGAUGAGCCUGCGUCCUAUUAGCUAGUUGGUGAGGUAACGGCUCACCGAGGCAGUGAUAGGUAGGCGGCCUUAACGGGUGGUCGCCCACACUGGGAUUGAGAUACGGCCCAGACUCCUACGGGAGGCAGCAGUCGAGAAUAGUCUACAAUGGUCGAAAGACUGAUAGUGCGACGCCGCGUGAACGAAGAAGCCCUUCGGGGUGUAAAGUUCUUUUAUAUGUGAGCAGUGCUUCUUAUAUUAACAGUAUGGGGAGAGAGAUAUUAGCAUAUGAAUAAGCAACGGCUAACUCCGUGCCAGC
rnacentral:rRNA from 1 species